UGCGUAGGCGGGCUAAUAAGUCAGUGGUGAAAUCUCUCGGCUCAACCGGGAAACUGCCAUUGAUACUGUUAGUCUUGAGUUCGGUUGAGGUGGGCGGAAUGUGUAAUGUAGCGGUGAAAUGCUUAGAUAUUACACAGAACACCAAUUGCGUAGGCAGCUUACUAGACCGACACUGACGCUGAGGCACGAAAGCGUGGGGAGCGAACAGGAUUAGAUACCCUGGUAAUCC
rnacentral:rRNA from 1 species